UUAUGCCAGUUGUUACCUGCGAGUAUGA
rnacentral:sRNA from 1 species